rnacentral:rRNA from 1 species
GCCUACCAUGGUUUUAACGGGUAACGGGGAAUUAGGGUUCGAUUCCGGAGAGGGAGCCUGAGAAACGGCUACCACAUCCAAGGAAGGCAGCAGGCGCGCAAAUUACCCAAUCCCGAUACGGGGAGGUAGUGACAAUAAAUAACAAUACAGGGCUUUAUAGUCUUGUAAUUGGAAUGAGUACAAUUUAAAUCUCUUAACGAGGAACAAUUGGAGGGCAAGUCUGGUGCCAGCAGCCGCGGUAAUUCCAGCUCCAAUAGCGUAUAUUAAAGUUGUUGCAGUUAAAAAGCUCGUAGUUGAAUUUUAGGCCUGGUUGGACGGUCUGCUCUAGGGUUUGUACUGUCCUGACUGGGUCUUACCUUCUGGUGAGCUGUCGUAUUGUUUACUCAGUGCGGCAGGGAACCAGGACUUUUACUUUGAAAAAAUUAGAGUGUUUAAAGCAGGCAUUCGCUUGAAUACAUUAGCAUGGAAUAAUAGAAUAGGACUUUGGUUCUAUUUUGUUGGUUUCUAGGACCGAAGUAAUGAUUAAUAGGGAUAGUUGGGGGCAUUAGUAUUUAAUUGUCAGAGGUGAAAUUCUUGGAUUUAUUAAAGACUAACUUCUGCGAAAGCAUUUGCCAAGGAUGUUUUCAUUAAUCAAGAACGA